GAUGAACGCUGGCGGCGUGCUUAACACAUGCAAGUCGAACGGGAAACCUUUUAUUGAAGCUUCGGCAGAUUUAAUUUGUUUCUAGUGGCGGACGGGUGAGUAACGCGUGGGUAACCUGCCCUAUACAGGGGGAUAACAACCAGAAAUGGUUGCUAAUACCGCAUAAGCGCACAGGACCGCAUGGUCCGGUGUGAAAAACUCCGGUGGUAUAGGAUGGACCCGCGUUGGAUUAGCCAGUUGGCAGGGUAACGGCCUACCAAAGCGACGAUCCAUAGCCGGCCUGAGAGGGUGAACGGCCACAUUGGGACUGAGACACGGCCCAGACUCCUACGGGAGGCAGCAGUGGGGAAUAUUGCACAAUGGGGGAAACCCUGAUGCAGCGACGCCGCGUGAAGGAAGAAGUAUCUCGGUAUGUAAACUUCUAUCAGCAGGGAAGAUAGUGACGGUACCUGACUAAGAAGC
rnacentral:rRNA from 1 species